UAUAUAUAAUUCACAAAAUCGGGCCGGUAGCCACCUACUGAGGGAAAGUUAGGCUAAUUGAACACAUCAGGUAUGAGGUAUUAAGGUAUACAUGUUUCGAUAUCGAUCGAUCGUGUUCGUCGAACUAAUUAACAUGCAUGUUUCGAUCCAUCGAUCAUGUUCGUCGAACUAGCUAACAACAUGCUCAUCGAAGGACGAACAACGACGUAGUCUGACGAACGAACGAUCAACCUAAACGGGAGAUGAACAACGUAGAAGACCGUAGAGAUUCUAAAAGGCAGAUGAACGAUGAAGUAUACGUACCUUAUGCUACUCAGCCGUUGUUUGUUAACUACUCGGACUGACGGUCUCUUACCUUCUUCGUUCUACACGAGUUAAUGGUACAUUAAAACAAAGCUGGCCUAGCCGUCCGAACACCGGUCCCAACGCGAGGUCUCGGAACUACAGCUCGAGCAGCGGCAGUUGCUGGGGAAGUAGUGGUGGCUGAUGUACUGGAUGUACAAGUUCAUACUGUGACAGUUGCCUAUCACCUUCGUGGUACUUCAAUUCCACUUCCUGAGGUUCUGGGAAGAGUAGCCGACUAGUAUGUUACAGGACUACACCCUUGGGACUCCUCUAGGGUACCCGACGACGACCACGACUCAUGCAACAACUCAGGUGGCCACAAAAGUGACUGUUCCUGUUCCCACCACGGUUCUUCCAGUAGUAAAGACGAGGGUCGUUCCUACGAGGGUACAAACAGACAUCACAGUUACUCUUCCUUAUGUUUAGACUGUAGCUGUAAAAUAGGUUGCGAUCGACGUGGUGAUUGACGGAACGAGGAGAACGAUUCCAAUAGUUACUGUCCAAACCGUAGCAACUCCCAAACUACUGGUGUCAAGUACGGUACUGACGUUGGGCCUUCUGAUAACUACCAGGAAGGUCGUUCAUGAACUCUCCACCUUCCCGACGGUCGAAGUUGUAGUAAGGCUCGUCGUGAACACGACGUUUCCGAUAAAACAAACUAAACUACCUCCCAAUACUUCCCUCGGUCAAGUUCUCUAGUACACGUUUUAUCUAUCUAGGUCUUUAAAAGUAUGGAUUUCCUACCACGGAAGGACCACGAGGAACGAAUGUCUUCCCCCGUACCCAGUCUUCCCCCCGCACCUUGACGACGUCGGGUAGACUCUGUCUCGUCUGAGGUCGCUUAAACCGGUCGGUCCUAGUGUUUUUUAUAUUCGUCACAAAUAAUCGAUCGACCUUAAUUUCCGUUGCCGCUCUCUCCUUCUAGUUCCUGUUGAAGUUUUUAUUUCUUAUAUACGUUCUUCUAGCGUCCAGCUCACCCUCCCUAGGUCAACGCUGCUGUGGCUUAGUGAUCGUUCCGUCGACGGAUCUUAUUAUCACGUAUCGCUGCGGCUGCAUACAGCACAUGUUCCCAUUCCAAGGGCCUCAGAUGCUACUGACCCUCCUCACAGCCUCUGUCCAAGUGGCUAAGUCGCCAUUGUCAAUGUUUCCCAUGUGGUGAUCCUGGCUCCGGCUUAGAUCUAUGCGGGCGAUAGAUCGCCCUCUCCCCUCCCUCGCAACCUCCUUGGCUUACUUCUGCUCAAAGUAGCACUACUACGAGUAGCACUACUGGCGUCGAGAGAAGAUACACUACCAUCAAAUCUACUAGCUAUAGCUGAACAUUACACUUCUGUUUGAGCGAUGAGCGCCAGAGCUCUGAACAUUAUAUUACAAGAUAGAAACAAGCCAGAAAAGUUAAGCCUCUGAUUAUACUACUUAACAUAAGCCU
rnacentral:rRNA from 1 species